rnacentral:rRNA from 1 species
CCUACGGGAGGCAGCAGUGAGGAAUAUUGGUCAAUGGACGAGAGUCUGAACCAGCCAAGUAGCGUGAAGGAUGACUGCCCUAUGGGUUGUAAACUUCUUUUAUAUGGGAAUAAAAUGUUCCACGUGUGGGAUUUUGUAUGUACCCUAUGAAUAAGGAUCGGCUAACUCCGUGCCAGCAGCCGCGGUAAUACGGAGGAUCCGAGCGUUGUCCGGGUUUAUUGGGUUUAAAGGGAGCGUAGGUGGAUUGUUAAGUCAGUUGUGAAAGUUUGCGGCUCAACCGUAAAAUUGCAGUUGAAACUGGCAGUCUGGAGUACAGUAGAGGUGGGCGGAAUUCGUGGUGUAGCGGUGAAAUGCUUAGAUAUCACGAAGAACUCCGAUUGCGAAGGCAGCUCACUGGACUGCAACUGACACUGAGGCUCGAAAGUGUGGGUAUCAAACAGGAUUAGAUACCCCAGUAGUC